UACGUAGGAGGCAAGCGUUGUCCGGAAUCACUGGGCGUAAAGAGCGUGUAGGCGGUCUGCCAAGUCUGUUGUGAAAGCGCCUGGCUUAACUGGGCGAGGUCGACGGAAACUGGCAAACUGGAGGCCGGUAGAGGAGGGUGGAAUUCCCGGUGUAGUGGUGGAAUGCGCAGAUAUCAGGAGGAACACCGGUGGCGAAGGCGGGGUCUCUGGGGCAGUAAACUGACGCUGGAGGAGCG
rnacentral:rRNA from 1 species